GACAGAGGGUGCAAACGUUGUUCGGAAUUACUGGGCGUAAAGCGUGUGUAGGCGGCCACGCAAGUCAGGUGUGAAAGCCCCGGGCUCAACCCGGGAAGUGCACUUGAAACUGCAUGGCUCGAGUAUCGGAGAGGUUGGUGGAAUUCUCGGUGUAGAGGUGAAAUUCGUAGAUAUGCGGAGGAACACCGAUGGCGAAGGCAGCCCCCUGGGCUAACACUGACGCUCAGGCACGAAAGCGUGGGGAGCAAACAGG
rnacentral:rRNA from 1 species